AUGUUCAGGAGAAGAAGAGGAAGCGCCUACAGCUGCAGUUACUGGUUGGUUCGGUCAUUGCAGCCUCUGCUACACGUUCUGAUACCAGCUCAACAUGGCUGCUACAAAUGGUCACUUCAAGUCACCACCACCACCUCAGAAUCGGAAAUGUGUGUUUAAGAAAGGUCUUGCAAAGGAAGUGACUCCUACAGUGCCUUGAAUCAAGGUGCUGGUCCUGACAUCAUGCAAUCCUUGUUCAGAAGAUGAUCAGCAAACCCUCCACAAAGGGGGUUAGCCACAGAUGAUCAGUGAAAGGGCAAAGUGAGCCGUCGAGCAGUGGAAAGAUGGCUUUCAGGGAGAAGUGUGGUUAGGUAAACCCUACUCCUCAGAGAGUGGUCUCAGGCUGGAGUUGACCUCAAGAGCCACGGCACACAGAUGUCUACAGGAGAUGGAUCACAACUACUGCUUCCUGCUGUGAUGCAGUUCCUGAUCCAGAGACCAAUAUUAGAUGCAUCUUUUCAGAGUCAAAGAGGAACAAGACCGGAGACACUGAUACAGGCUGCUCACCUCUGUGCUACACUACAUUGAUGCAGUAGUUUGUGUCUAAGGAGCCUCAUAUUCAGUAAAUGAAGGAACUUUUUGUUUAUGUACUAAUUAAGAUUUUUAACAAUCUUUGGAAAUAUGAACUUUUGUAUGUAAUGUAACAACGUUUGAAACAUUAAAGUCUUUUUAGCUUUCAGUUCAAA